AGGCCCUUUUUCUUCCACUAGCUGUUGCUUUAUAGUUUCUUGGUUGUUGCUCUGAACUUACUUUCCUGAUUAACUUCGUCUGUGCCUCUCUUAAUGCACUUUACAAAAUGUUCCGCCUGCUGUGCUUGUACGCUUUCUGAGGGAGCACCGCUCUGAGUAGGCUGACCAUGGAAUUGAUGCAUACUCAGCUGCAUCUCUGAAAACUAGUCCUUAUGCCAUUCCAUGUGUGAGACCUGGUGGCUUCCCUAGUAGCCACGUCAUUUUGCCUCUUGCCCAUACUGUAGAGCAGGAGGAGUUCUUGGAGGUGGUUCGGCUAGAGGGUCAUGCAUUCUCACCUGAAGAUAUACCUUUGGCGCAUGACAUGUAUUUACUUCAGUUGUGCAGUGGGGUAGAUGAAAAUGCAGUUGGUGCCUGUGCGCAGCUUGUCUUGAUUGGAGAUGAGCUAUGAAAGUGAUGCCCAUCAUCAGUGACGUGCUCAUCAACGGAAGCAAGAACCCAGAAAGACAGACGCAUCUGAAUAUGAAUCCCACAACACAGUGUCUCUGAGUGCAAGUGGCCUUUGCUUUGCCUCCCUUGUUGUCUAAAGCUGAGCUUCUUCG